GCACGCCAUGGUAAUGUGGAGUACGCCGGUUAGGCACAAUCAAACAUGAUAUGCAUUAGUCAAGAGAGUUCCGAAUGGUCGGGGAUUCCCUCAGAGUUAAUAUAGACGGCCAAGCUGACAGACGUGUUCCCUGAUCGUAGGAGCCUGGAAUUCGGUGCUGUACACAGACCCGUGUAACUCUCAGCCUAAGAGUACUCAGCGACACUCUUGGGUAAGUCAUAUAUAUCUAU
rnacentral:lncRNA from 1 species